rnacentral:rRNA from 1 species
GCCAGACUCCUACGGGAGGCAGCAGUGGGGAAUAUUGCACAAUGGGGGAAACCCUGAUGCAGCGACGCCGCGUGAGCGAUGAAGUAUUUCGGUAUGUAAAGCUCUAUCAGCAGGGAAGAAAAUGACGGUACCUGACUAAGAAGCCCCGGCUAACUACGUGCCAGCAGCCGCGGUAAUACGUAGGGGGCAAGCGUUAUCCGGAUUUACUGGGUGUAAAGGGAGCGUAGACGGUCCUGCAAGCCAGAUGUGAAAGCCCGGGGCUCAACCCCGGGACUGCUCUGGAAACUGUACGGCUGGAGUGCAGGAGAGGUAAGUGGAAUUCCUAGUGUAGCGGUGAGAUGCGUAGAUAUUAGGAGGAACACCAGUGGCGAAGGCGGCUUACUGGACUGUAACUGACGUUGAGGCUCGAAAGCGUGGGGAGCAAACAGGAUUAGAUACCCCUGUACU